rnacentral:rRNA from 1 species
CGGGUUUAGCGGCGGACGGGUGAGUAACGCGUGGGAAUAUGCCCUUUGGUACGGAACAGUCCCGGGAAACUGGGUUUAAUACCGUAUGUGGUCCUUCGUAGUGGAUACGGGGGACGAAAGAUUUAUCGCCAAAGGAUUAGCCCGCGUUGGAUUAGGUAGUUGGUGGGGUAAUGGCCUACCAAGCCGACGAUCCAUAGCUGGUUUGAGAGGAUGAUCAGCCACACUGGGACUGAGACACGGCCCAGACUCC